rnacentral:rRNA from 1 species
UACAGAGGUCUCAAGCGUUGUUCGGAUUCAUUGGGCGUAAAGGGUGUGUAGGUGGCGCCGUAAGUCGGGUGUGAAAUUUCGGAGCUUAACUCCGAAACUGCAUUCGAUACUGCGGUGCUUGAGGACUGGAGAGGAGACUGGAAUUCAUGGUGUAGCAGUGAAAUGCGUAGAUAUCAGGAGGAACACCUGUGGCGAAAGCGGCUCACUGGACCACAACUGACGCUGAGGCGCGAAAGCUAGGGGAGCAAACAGG